GUCUGCUUUCAGGAAAAGUUUCCGCUGAAGAGCAUUUGACCUUUGUGGAACUGGACCUUCCCAAUGCAAAUACACCUGUGAAAAUCAAGCUUACACAAAAGAUAUGGCCAUCACCAGAGGAAACAGAUGACCUUGGCAGCAGGAGGCAGCCUUCUGCAAUGAGCAACUUCUGAGCGCAAGUCUAUGCGGUGCCUGAUCUCAAAAUGUCUGCCGUGUGGGUGGCUGGAAUGACGAAGAGAAACCCCAGCCCUUCUGGAGCUGGGAGCAGACUUCCAGUGGCCUAGCGUAAGGCAGAAACUGUAGGAAAGACCAGUCUAAUGGUGCCCAGUCAUCAUGUCCCAGCUCUAUUCCAUCUGAAUUUCACAAUGUGGUUUGAGAUGUCUCUCAAGAGAGAAAGAUAUGCUGUCUACCUAAAGACUGAAUCAUUCUCUAGAAAUGCUUAUUUCUCUUUGUCUGAUAAAAUGCCUUUAAAUUAGUGCCCUUAUAUAGAUAUGAUUCAUCUGGCUUGAUACCUUUUUUUUAAGCAGUUAUUGCUCUAGAAA